rnacentral:rRNA from 1 species
GCGGAUCUCUUCGGAGAUCAGCGGCGGACGGGUGAGUAACACGUGGGCAACCUGCCUGUAAGACUGGGAUAACUCCGGGAAACCGGAGCUAAUACCGGAUAACCUUUCGGACCGCAUGGUCCGGAAUUGAAAGACGGUUUCGGCUGUCACUUACAGAUGGGCCCGCGGCGCAUUAGCUAGUUGGUGAGGUAAUGGCUCACCAAGGCGACGAUGCGUAGCCGACCUGAGAGGGUGAUCGGCCACACUGGGACUGAGACACGGCCCAGACUCCUACGGGAGGCAGCAGUAGGGAAUCUUCCGCAAUGGACGAAAGUCUGACGGAGCAACGCCGCGUGAGUGAUGAAGGUUUUCGGAUCGUACAGCUCUGUUGUCAGGGAAGAACAAGUGCAGAAGUAACUGUCUGCGCCUUGACGGUACCUGACCAGAUAGCCACGGCUAACUACGUGCCAGCAGCCGCGGUAAUACGUAGGUGGCAAGCGUUGUCCGGAAUUAUUGCGCGUAAAGCGCGCGCAGGCGGUCUUUUAAG